rnacentral:pre_miRNA from 1 species
GCCGUGUUCCCUCUCUGCCUUCAGCCUCUUUAUGAUGCUGCCUUGUGGCGUCUUGAUCAAGCAGCAUUGUACAGGGCUAUGAAGGCGUGGAGGAGCUUCUC